rnacentral:misc_RNA from 1 species
GAUGAAGAACGUAGCGAAAUGCGAUAAGUAAUGUGAAUUGCAGAAUUCAGUGAAUCAUCGAAUCUUUGAACGCACAUUGCGCCCGCCAGUAUUCUGGCGAGCAUGCCUGUCCGAGCGUCAUUUCAACCAUCAAGCCCCAGGCUUGUGUUGGAGCCCUGCGGCUGCCGCAGCCUCCCAAAACCAGUGGCGGGCUCGCUAUCACACCGAGUGCAGUAGUUUACUCUUCGCUCAGGGCGUGUGGCGGGUGCUAGCCGUGAAACCCCCAACUUCUCAAGGUUGACCUCGGAUCAGGUAGGAAUACCCGCUGAACUUAAGCAUAUCAAUAAGCGGAGGA